GCUCUAAUACACCUGUCUGUCUCUCUGGGUGGGAGGUGAGACAGCUCUAAUACACCUGUCUGUCUCUCUGGGUGGGAGGUGAGACAGCUCUAAUACACCUGUCUGUCUCUCUGGGUGGGAGGUGAGACAGCUCUAAUACACCUGUCUGUCUCUCUGGGUGGGAGGUGAGACAGCUCUAAUACACCUGUCUGUCUCUCUGGAUGGGAGGUGAGACAGCUCUAAUACACCUGUCUGUCUCUCUGGAUGGGAGGUGAGACAGCUCUAAUACACCUGUCUGUCUCUCUGGGUGGGAGGUGAGACAGCUCUAAUACACCUGUCUGUCUCUCUGGGUGGGAGGUGAGACAGCUCUAAUACACCUGUCUGUCUCUCUGGGUGGGAGGUGAGACAGCUCUAAUACACCUGUCUGUCUCUCUGGAUGGGAGGUGAGACAGCUCUAAUACACCUGUCUGUCUCUCUGGGUGGGAGGUGAGACAGCUCUAAUACACCUGUCUGUCUCUCUGGAUGGGAGGUGAGACAGGAAGUAGCUCCCAGGGGCUGAUGGG